rnacentral:rRNA from 1 species
CCCUUAGAUGUUCUGGGCUGCACACGUGCUACACUGGCAGGUUCAGCGAGCUUCAUGCCCUGAUCUGAAAGGAAUGGGAAAUCUUUUCAAAACCUGCCGUGCUUGGGAUAGAUGUUUGCAAUUAUUCAUCUUCAACGAGGAUUGCCUUGUAAGCGCACGUCAUCAGCGUGCAUUGAAUACGACCCUGUAUUCUGUACACACCGCCCGUCGCUCCUACCGAUUGAAGUUUUCGGUGAGUUGACAGGAGGAUUUUUUUGAAACUGGUUCGCCAGAGGAUUUUAGAUCCAAAUGCCAACGAAUCGAUGGCUUUAGAGGAAGGAGAAGUCGUAACA